rnacentral:rRNA from 1 species
AGAUUGAACGCUGGCGGCAUGCCUAACACAUGCAAGUCGAACGGGAGUAGCAAUACUCUAGUGGCGGACGGGUGAGGAAUACGUAGGAAUUUGCCCUUAAGUGGGGGAUAACCCGGGGAAACCCGGAUUAAUACCGCAUGACCUCGAAAGAGCAAAGUGGGGGAUCGCAAGACCUCACGCUUUUGGAGAAGCCUACGUCGGAUUAGCUAGUUGGUGAGGUAAUGGCUCACCAAGGCGACGAUCCGUAACUGGUCUGAGAGGAUGAUCAGUCACACCGGAACUGAGACACGGUCCGGACUCCGUACGGGAGGCAGCAGGUGGGAAUAUUGGACAA